rnacentral:rRNA from 1 species
UACGUAGGGUGCGAGCGUUGUCCGGAAUUAUUGGGCGUAAAGAGCUCGUAGGCGGUGUGUCACGUCGUUCGUGAAAACCCGCGGCUUAACUGCGGGCUUGCGGUUGAUACGGGCGGGCUAGAGUUCGGUAGGGGAGACUGGAAUUCUGGUGUAGGCGGUGAAAUGCGCAGAUAUCAGGAGGAACACCGGUGGCGAAGGCGGGUCUCUGGGCCGAUACUGACGCUGAGGAGCGAAAGCGUGGGGAGCGAACAGG